rnacentral:rRNA from 1 species
UGGGGGAUAUUGCACAAUGGGGGAAACCCUGAUGCAGCAACGCCGCGUGAAGGAAGAAGGUCUUCGGAUUGUAAACUUCUGUCCUCAGGGAAGAUAAUGACGGUACCUGAGGAGGAAGCUCCGGCUAACUACGUGCCAGCAGCCGCGGUAAUACGUAGGGAGCGAGCGUUGUCCGGAUUUACUGGGUGUAAAGGGUGCGUAGGCGGAUAGGCAAGUCAGUGGUGAAAUCUAUGGGCUUAACCCAUAAACUGCCAUUGAAACUGUUUAUCUUGAGUGGAGUAGAGGCAGGCGGAAUUCCCGGUGUAGCGGUGAAAUGCGUAGAGAUCGGGAGGAACACCAGUGGCGAAGGCGGCCUGCUGGGCUUUAACUGACGCUGAGGCACGAAAGUGUGGGUAGCAAACAGGAUUAGAUACCC